AUGUCCCCGACUUUCAAAGAGGUGCACCUCCCAAAUACUCCUAAGGAGAAGUUCAACAAGAUUCACUCCUCCAAACGCAAUUGCAUAGAGAGAACCUUUGGGGUGUGGAAGAUGAAAUGGAAAAUUCCCCUCAAGAUGCCAAACUACUCAUUUGAAACACAAAUGAAGAUUGUUGCAGCUACUAUGACAUUGCACAACUAUGUUCGUCUCCUUGACAAAGAUGAUAUCCACUUCAUUCGAUGUGAAAGGGAUCCGGAUUAUGUUCCAACAAUUCCGAAUGGAUAUAAGAAGUAUGUUAUUCCUCCGAGUGCAUCGGAUGCUUCAACUUCAGAGGCAAGUGCUCCUGACAUGGAUAGGUUUCGGAAUGAACUAGCCACGGCCAUUGCUCUUGGUUGGUGA
rnacentral:rRNA from 1 species